GUUAGGUCAAAGUCGGAUUGUUGAAUCAGCAUCCAAAGCCGAUUCUGAGCUAAUUGUGGUGGUGAACAUUUCUUUUAGUUAUGGCAUGUAUAGGAAUUUAGUAAUUUUGUAUAUUUGUAAAUAUGAUUUUACUAUAGAAUGAUGUGUAAGUAUUUGAUGAUGAAGGGUUGUUUAAAUGGUCAAGGAUGAAGUUAAUUAUUGUUAUAAAAGUCUAAGUGAUAAAUUAGGUAUGAAAGUCAUAAAAUGGUAAAAUUUUGCAAAGAAACAGAAUUCAGGCAGCAAUAGUGACGUAACUUUGAAAAAUCACCUAGGAUAGUAUAAAAUGAAUUAGAGGGUGAAUGA
rnacentral:lncRNA from 1 species